ensembl:lncRNA
UUUUGAUAUUAGUAAACAAAAAAAUCACAUAUUUUUGCAUAUUGAACCUUUACCUUUGUGUCAUGGUCCUGGGCCAUGUGGGCCCAGUAUUCUUAGUUUCUUGUAUUUUUGUAUUUCGUUCCUUAUUUAGGUCAUGUUUCCUGAGUUGUCCUGUUAUGUUGUUCCUUAUUUGACUUCCCCUUGUGACUUUUAUCCCCUGUGUGCCCCUCUAUGUAUCUGUGAGCCCUCAUCUCCCCUCGUGUUUCAUUCCAUGUUUCCCCAGCCCACUAUGCCCGUGCUCUCUCUCUCCUCCUGUUUGCACCUCUGUGUACUUCCUGUUUUACUUUGACAGUCUCCCGUCAGUGUUGUUUACUCCUGCCAUGUCUUGUUAUGUUUAUCUGUGUCAGCUGUGUUCCCACCCUCCGUGUUUCCAUGCCUGGUCUGUUGUCUUCCAAGCCAUAGCCUCACCAUCGUUUGUUCCCAGUUCAGGUUUCUGUUUAGCCACGUUAUCCCUGCUGUAUUUGUACACCUUGUUUUCAGCCAUAUUAAAGGCUCACCUUCUGUUAAAGCUCACUCCCGUCUGCUCACUCGUGUACGCACCUGGGUCCAUUACACGCAUUCUCCACUCGGUCCGUCACAGCGGACUGUGACACCUUUGCAUUAAAUUUCAGAUUUCAAUAUAUUGUACUGUGUACAGAAAUAAUAAAUCCAGUCCAUGAACACAGCCAGUCCAAGUGAGGCUAACGGAGGAUAUCGAGUGACAGCUAGCCUGCAAAAAAUAGCUAUGGGUUGCCUUUGCUAGAAACUAAAACCAGUUUAACCUUUUUUUCUUUUCCUUUUUUUUUUUUUUUUUUUGCCUGUCCCGUUUGGCUCUUUUGCCAUCAGAAUUAUUGUCUAAAGGCGAAGAAAGAUGCCCAACGGAUUUACUUUACCAAAUGGACAAUCCCAGCCUUGCUGUAAUGGUCUAUUUGAUUCACCUUUUGUUCUUUAUUUUAUUUUAUUUUAUUUUCGUUUGCUAGGGACAGACUUGACUGGGGAAAAGAAAGGGGAGAAAGAAAAACAGCGGUGAAGAGGCACAAGGGCAAAAAACAAAAACCAACAAAAUAAGCAAACAAAAAAUACAUACCGUAUAUCAAUCAUCUGGAUCACCUGUUG